AUUGAACGCUGGCGGCAGGCCUAACACAUGCAAGUCGAACGAGUGGCGGACGGGUGAGUAAUGUCUGGGAAACUGCCUGAUGGAGGGGGAUAACUACUGGAAACGGUAGCUAAUACCGCAUACCAUCAGAUGUGCCCAGAGGGGAUUAGCUAGUUGGUGGGGUAACGGCUCACCAAGGCGACGAUGCCUCGCUGGUCAGAGAGGAUGACCGGCCACACUGUAACUGGGACACGGUCCAGACUCCUACGGGAGGCAGCGGUGAUGAAUAUUUCACAAUGGGCGCAAGCCUGAUGCAGCCGAGCCGCGUGUAUGAAGAAGGCCUUCGGGUUGUAAAGUACUUUCAGCGGGGAGGCGUUACCCGCAGAAGAAGCACCGGCUAACUCCGUGCCAGCAGCCGCGGUAAUUC
rnacentral:rRNA from 1 species